rnacentral:rRNA from 1 species
UACGGAAGGCAGCAGUGGGGAAUAUUGGACAAUGGGCGAAAGCCUGAUCCAGCCAUGCCGCGUGUGUGAAGAAGGUCUUCGGAUUGUAAAGCACUUUAAGUUGGGAGGAAGGGCAGUAAAUUAAUACUUUGCUGUUUUUGACGUUACCGACAGAAUAAGCACCGGCUAACUCUGUGCCAGCAGCCGCGGUAAUACAGAGGGUGCAAGCGUUAAUCGGAAUUACUGGGCGUAAAGCGCGCGUAGGUGGUUCGUUAAGUUGGAUGUGAAAUCCCCGGGCUCAACCUGGGAACUGCAUUCAAAACUGACGAGCUAGAGUAUGGUAGAGGGUGGUGGAAUUUUCCUGUGUAGCGGUGAAAUGCGUAGAUAUAGGAAGGAACACCAGUGGCGAAGGCGACCACCUGGGACUGAUACUGACACUGAGGUGCGAAAGCGUGGGGAGCAAACAGGAUUAGAUACC